UGCAAUCAUUUUACGAAUUAACUCGAGUCUGAUUCAUAUUUGUCUGGCGCUCCUCAUUUUGUUGAAAAUCAUGUCUAUGAAAACAUGAUUUUUUUCUGCACUCUGUACAUAUAUCUUGGGUGCAGAUUUGUUGGAGCACCCAAAUUUCUUUCUAAUAUAAACUAUUGGAAAGAUUUUUUAUAUACAUCAUAAUAUUAAUGUAGAAGAGCCUAUGGUGCAUACAUAUUUUGACAUUCCAGCUCAAAGAAAUCACUUGAUAGAUAUUUUUAUCGUAUAUAUAUUGCCACUUUGGAUAUUUGUUUGUUGAAUGCUCCUCAUUACAUUUUAUAUACAGUGGACUACUUUUGAAGUAAAUCAAAGCAUAUUUACUUUUGUUGAUAUGCUUCAUUUUCUUAGCAUGGAGAUUAAGAACGAACUUUUGUGUGCAGCGAACUAAGUUUCUUGUUUGCCACUAUAUUUUAGCAUGCGUAACAACUAAAGGAUGCAUUAAAUUAAUCUUUGCAACAACCAUUGGUGUUGAAGUUCACCCAUUGGAUUUCACCAUCAGUUGUGGAAAUAUUUGCUUCGAUUGCUGGGACAUUGCUAUGCUGGGAAAAAGGAGUUCGGUGGCCUUAGGGAUGUACACUAGUUAGUGUUAUGUGUUACGUAUUCUGAAAAGACAGUGAAGUUGCAGCGUAUGUUUCUUCUGCAUAUGGUGGUGUCCUAUUGUCUCAAUAGAUAGAUCCCUUGGUUAACUUGUAAUGUGGUUUCCUUAGCUUAAUUAUUGAUUUGUUGUUCCUAGGAUGUUAGUUAUUACGGAAAUACAAUGAAGUUUAUGCUAAUGUUUCUGCAUAUGAAUUAGUUGUAUUGUCUCAAUAGGUGGAUGUCUUAGUUCACUUGUAAAUUGUUUCCUCAGUUUUGUAGUAUUUGUUGCUCCUAAGGUGUAUUUAUCAGCAUCAUGCGUCGUUAUCUGAAGUUCUGUUAAAGCUUGUAGUACUUUUCUUGGGUUGCUACUGUUUAUUAAUAUGCCUGACUGAUUUUUCUUUUUAAUUAAUUUUGCAAUAUCCAUGGUCAGCAUGCGAUCAUUUUGUUUGAUGUCACAUCAAGAUGACUUACAAGAAUGUUCGGAUUAUGGGUGUACUUCUGUUGCAUAUCUUUAGAUUAUGGUUCGGAUUUCUUCUGUGUAGCUGAUGGCAUGUUGUGGGUUGGAUAUUGGCAAUUUGGGAUCAAUAUAAUGGUUUGAUGCUAGUGGGUUUUGUUGGAAUUGCUGCAAUACCCUGUUCUUAUUUUUGUGUGGAACACUGCGGUUAAAUGAAUGCUUUUAGCUAGUCUCUGUUUGCAUUGCUUGAUGUUUUCUUAUAUGCAGUAACUCGGUAUCACAUCAUUGGAGCAGCACAUCAUGCUGGUGCUGCAUUCUGUUUUUUCAUAUAUGCAUUGCCUGAUGUUAGUCAUCUGUGGUAGUUCAAUAUCACGUAAAUGGAGCAGCCUAUAUUUUCUGCGCCUCAAUCGACUAUUUUCCUAUGUUGAUUUGCAUAGUAUGAUGACUUGAGCCUUUUUUCUGCUUGUUUGUCGGUGUCGAUUGUCAAACAGCAGAGACACUUAAAGAUCGAUUUUUUCCGCCUACUGCAGAGAUAUAUUCCUCCAUCUGCUGCUAUGUUGUACAACGAAAUCUUGAUAAAGAAAUCUUUGGUAGCAGAAGAAUUGCAAAUCAGAACCCCACUUGGGAAAGAUGUUUGAUUCCAUUUGGUUAUUCACUCCGAAAUUCCUAUUUUGAUGGUGAACAAUGUGCGGUAUUGUUUCUGAAUGUUGGAUAUUAGCACCUGCACGUGCAGCUGAUGAAAUGAGAAGCUUAUCAUCUCCACAUGUGUGCCAAGGAGUAGGCUGAAGCUAGAGAUAUGAAUGAGGUUGUGUCUUCGUUCCUAGUUAUAUGAUGAUAUGAAUUAGGUGCACAUUGUCGGUACAAAGGCUAAAGUUAUGUUGGGUGGGAUUCAUGUAAACAUGUGUCAAGUACUGCUCAGAUUGUUCCUCGAUGUGCUCCACGUCGAAACCCAGGUGUUUAAAGGGGUCAAAAUCUCGUCUAAUACCUCAGGGAUUUGAUUGGGGCACAAGGUUUGCUGAUAGAGGGAUUCAGAGAGUGGCCACCUGUAAGAGACGAAAGCAUCAAACUCAAUGGGAAGAUGGAAUUGGUGAGCUGCAAUACGCCGGAAGGCAGCUCUUUCUCGUGUUUUUUGAUGACAGAUGCUCGAAAGUGUUCUAUGCCGCAAGGCAUUCUCCUUUGAAAAUUGAGGAUCUAGUAGUCUGAACAGUAUGGAGGUUGAGUCUAUACAUUUGGAAUGCAAGCUUGAGCCUCUGAUUCAUCUGCCUUGAAGUCAAAGUCGUCCGCCUGGAGAUGUAGCUCCAACCUAAUGCCGAACACCACUCCAGGGUCUCUGCAAUGUUGGUGAGGACAACUCCAGCCUCGGCGCCAAGUGCGGCAAGUUCUGCCUCGUCCUCACCAACCAAGACGAUGAUUCAUAGAAAUUGUUAGGAGAAAUAGGACAUCAGCUUCAGAGUAUUUCCAAGAAAAAUGCUAGCAGAGACGGACGAUGCCGACCACUCGUUCAUUCUACCAGCAGAAACAAUCGAGUGAUAAAGUUUGAUAGCAGAGUGACAGUCAGUGCAAACUCUGAGGUGACGGAUGGCCGAGACGCUGACCGAACCUUGUUCUUGGAGCGAUCGGUGGAUUGCCGUGGUGUUGGUGGAAGGGAGAGUCCUUGAUGUAGCAGCAUCACAAUGGACAAGCCUGGCCAGCAUCUCCAAUGAAUAUGCGAUUCAGUGCGGCCUGUCUCUGGAGCUAAGAUGAACAAUACUUCUGCGGCUCUGCGAGAUAUGAUAAUAUCAUCAGCGAGUUGAGAUUCACCGACAACAACAAGCUGAAGCAAAUCUACGCCUAGCACAGUCGUGGUGAGUGGUCUGAGCAUUCCUCCUCCAGCAAGCACAUACCAAACAUCCGCAACUUAGAUCGGUUUGAAGAAUCUGAUAAGUGAAGGGCAUAGCGGCUAGUGUGUUGCUAUCCUUGUCUGCCUAUGUUGUCGGCAAAUCAAGUUUUGAGAUUGAAGAGGGACACAUGCUACUGGUGACUCCUUGGAAGACAAGGGACACUGUUUGGGCUACAAUAAAAGAGAAUCCUGGUAUGCAGCAUGUGAGACAAUCAUUACCUGGACUACAACCCCCUCCCGCUGAGCUCCUCGGGUUGCUUCUAUUAGUCAGGCGGUGUGGUGUUAGUUGUAUUUAUGCAGCACCAGCCUCCCCGAGCUGCGUCUGCUAGCGUGCACCCGGGCUAGAAGCCUGCACCUUCCUGGAGAUGCGGCUCCGUUAUGAUGCCAGGGGCCUCGGGAAUGCUGAUGAGGACAACUCGACCCAAACAACGGCAAGGUCUGCCUUGUCCUCACCAACCAAGGCGAUAAAAGCUUAUGAUGGUUGUAUACACUAUUAUGGUUUGUAUUCUUGAAGUUGGAUAAUGGAAUUGAGAAAAUGAAGUAAAGUUAUAGCAAAGUUAAUUGACCGGUGUCAUGUUUUUGUUGUUGAGAUUCACAGAAAACAACAAGCUGAAGAAAAUCUACACCUAGCCCAGCCGUGGUGAGUGGUCUGGGCAUUUCUGCUCCAGCAAGCACAUACCAAACAUCCACAAAUCAGAUCAGGUUGAAUAAUAUGAUAAGUGAAGGGCAGAGCGGCUAGUGUCUUUCUACCCUUGUCUGCUUGUGUUGUCGGCAAAGCAAUUUUUGAGAUGCAAGAGCGACACAUGCUACUGGUGACUCCUUGGAAGACAUGGGACACUGUUACCCUGGUAUGCAGCAUGUGACAAUCAUACCUUGGUGCCCCACUGGGAGGGCUAUGUGCGGCCUGAGUUGAAGACUCAUGCACUUAGGGUCUGUGGACAGAGAUGCUUUUGCUGAUGACGCUGAAUAUGUUUUGCCAUUGCCUUUGUUGUUUCAAAAUGUUGAACUAGUACUGUAUUUUUUUGAUGGAAAUCUGUUUCACUGAAGAAAAGCUUGUUUGUGGACAUUGUGUUUACUUAUAUUUUGCUGAAACAUGUAUGUUUGUAGGCCCUCUUGCGGUCUGGCUAUGUGGUGCGUUGAUGGUGGUGGUGCUAUUCUUGGGCUUGCCGAUGCUUCCCGCUCCCCUCUUGGGUUAGGCUUGGGUGGCCCCUGGCUUCGACUACCUCCUCGGUGUGGCGGCCGUGAUGCUCAACCUCGGCUACAAGCUUUCCGGAGUCUGAUGAGAUACUGGUUCACCCUUUGGUUAUGUGGCUACCAACUUACCAAGUGCUCUGUGAUUUUUUGUACUUACUUCCUUCAUCUUUGUCAGGGCACCCUCAGCGAGGCCAAGAUGUACUACAGGGCGAUCAUGUUUGUGAAGGCGGACUGCCAAAAUCUGUCCACCUUCGUGUUGACAAGUUCCCCAGAUCCAGUUCACCCGGUCUUCGAGUAGUUUGAACUAUCGCACACCUGCAAGUCCUCCAGUGUCUUAUCUGGGUACAAUGUCUUCCAGCCUGCAAACAGAGAUUAGAUGGUUUUGAAUCUAAAUACGAAUUCUUAAGGUAGUGUCUGAGGUUUUUUCACCAAGGAUGGCAGAUAGACGGAUAGACCAGAUUUAACCUUGCAUUGCUUCAUUCGGAUGGUUACUUAUUCUUUUUGUAAUCAUCAUAUCUGAGGUUCUUAUUGGAUGCUUCUCUGGGAUACCAAGUGAAGUAACAGCAUAACUUCCUAAGUAGGUGCUAUGAUCAGAAUGCAAGAAUCUGGAUAUUGUCUCCUUGGUGAUGCGUUGGUUGCAGCCUUCAGUUUCAUGUGGUUCCUCCCUAUGGUUUGGACUGCAUGCUCAAUCAGCCGAUGCUAUCAGCAAGGUGGAGCCAUGGAUUGGAGAAGGAAGAAGCGCACAUCUAGAUGCCUGGUGCGGUGAUUUUGGAUUAUGUUGGUUUCGCUGCUAGGAUUGAUCAGCAAUCGUUAAGUCAUAAGAAGUUUUACAUUGUUGUUUUGAACUAUUCUUGUAAUGGCAUGGAAUUGGUACUGAAAUAUGAGUGGAGUGCUAAUUCUAUGUAUGUAAAAAUGAAACUGUUGGCGAAGCAUUAUCUUCAAAAUUCGUAGCAAAUCAUACGUGUCUGGUACUACCUAUACCUGUGUAUGCUGCAGCUACGAGAAGUUAACUAUUAUUUGGAUUAUUGUAUAUUGUCCAUCCUUUCGUAA